rnacentral:rRNA from 1 species
UACGUAGGGGGCAAGCGUUGUCCGGAUUUAUUGGGCGUAAAGAGCGUGUAGGCGGCCAGACAGGUCCGUUGUGAAAACUCGAGGCUCAACCUCGAGAUGUCGAUGGAAACCGUCUGGCUAGAGUCCGGAAGAGGAGUGUGGAAUUCCUGGGUGUAGCGGUGAAAUGCGCAGAUAUCAGGAAGAACACCUAUGGCGAAGGCAGCACUCUGGGACGGUACUGACGGCUGAGACGCGAAAGCGUGGGGAGCGAACAGG